rnacentral:rRNA from 1 species
AGAGUUUGAUCAUGGCUCAGAUUGAACGCUGGCGGCAUGCUUAAUACAUGCAAGUCGAACGGUAACAGGUUCUUCGGAAUGCUGACGAGUGGCGGACGGGUGAGUAAAGCAUAGGAAUCUGCCCAUGUAGUGGGGGAUAACUUGGGGAAACUCAAGCUAAUACCGCAUAAUUCCUACGGGAUAAAGAGGGCCUCUACUUGUAAGCUCUUGCUAUUGGAUGAGCCUAUGUCGGAUUAGUUAGUUGGUGAGGUAAUGGCUCACCAAGACAGCGAUCCGUAGCUGGUUUGAGAGGAUGAUCAGCCACACUGGGACUGAGACACGGCCCAGACUCCUACGGGAGGCAGCAGUAGGGAGUAUUGGACAAUGGGCGCAAGCCUGAUCCAGCAAUGCCGCGUGUGUGAAGAAGGCCUGCGGGUUGUAAAGCACUUUCAAUUGGGAAGAAAGAUUUAGAGCUAAUACCUCUUAAUAUUGACG